rnacentral:rRNA from 1 species
UACGGAGGGUGCGAGCGUUGUCCGGAAUCACUGGGCGUGAAGGGCGCGUAGGCGGCCUGAUAAGUAGGGGGUGAAAUCUUGCGGCUUAACCGCAAGGCUGCCUUCUAAACUGUCAGGCUAGAGCACAGUAGAGGCAGGUGGAAUUCCCGGUGUAGCGGUGGAAUGCGUAGAGAUCGGGAAGAACAUCAGUGGCGAAGGCGGCCUGCUGGGCUGUUGCUGACGCUGAGGCGCGACAGCGUGGGGAGCAAACAGG